rnacentral:lncRNA from 10 species
UUGCGAGUGAUGAGUAAUGCAUGGUUGUUUCUUGUGGUCUAGAUGUGGAAUGUACUGGCAGAUGCAAAGGUUUUCUACUAUUCGCAUGAGGACAGUGAGAUACAGAACUUUCACGACAAGUCAGGCAAAGCAAAUUUAUUAUUCACUGAUAGACAGCAAAAACACAUAGUCUAGGAUCCAUGGUGGGCUGGUCCCCCGGGGCUCAGGAAAGCUCUCCAGUGUGGAUAGAGUCUUGUCUGUGUGUGUCCCAUAUUGUACUGAAGCUGAGGUACCCGCAAAGCACAUCAUCUUGUAUUUUGCGCCUUGGGUAUCAUUUGCUCCCUAAGCUCAAGUUUUGCAGAAUAUCCUGCUCUAGAAGGAACAUAGUUCUGGCUAUUCUAGCCUGUUUCUUUUUUUCUUAUGUUAAUGCAUUCUGCAGAAAUUCUACAGUAAUUCUGAGAACUACAAGUUGGAGAGGGGAGAGCUGGGUCGAAAAAGGCCACUUGAGGACCUGCCCUCCUACAGCAGGGACAUUUGUAUCUAAAGAGUGCUGCCUAUAGGGGAGCAGCAACUUGGAAGAAAAGGCCUAAUACUUAAGGGUCAAGGAAGGAGUUGCAAGUGAUCACCCAGCCUGGAGAAGCAUCUGCCCGAGUCAAGGAAACUUUACAAGAGAAAUCCCCAGUGUGCACCCCUAUGAAGAGCCUACAAUGGUAUGUCUACAAGAGUGAGUCAUCCUUACUUCUGCCAGACCCAGAUAGUUGCAAGCUGUCUUUGCUACCAUUUCAGAGUGCCUUUUCAGGAAUUAAUUCUGCUGUUAGAGAAGUACCUAUGUCUUCAGAGAAUGUAAAGGUCAUAAGACCCUCAUUUCAGAAGAGGUCCUGCCCAUACCUGGAAGGGAUGCUACACAGUGAGACCAAGAAGACUGAACAGAGAGGCCUUUCUGGGUUUCCCCUCUGAGUCUAUUAGCAUCAGCUGUAUCCCUUUUGUUCCAUCACAUUUCUACAUGGUUGCUCAGUCUUCAAUCGUGCCCAUUCAGUGAAAUCUCCAUAAGACGCCCAAAGAGGAUGGGGUACAGAGAGCUUGGACAGCUGAACACAAAGAGACUUACAGGAAAGUGAACAAGACUCAUCUACAGUAGGGUGGGAGCACCCUAACUCCAUGCGAAUGGAAGCUCCUGCACUUGGUACCUUUUCAAACCUCGCACUAUGAAUUUCUUUAUCUGGCUUUUUAUUUAUAUCCUUUAAAAUAUCUUUUAUAAUAAAUGGAUAAAUGUGUUUCCCUGAGUUUUGUGAGCUGCUCUAGCAAAUUGACUACGCUUAAAGAGGGGGUUGUGGGAACCCCAACCGGAAGCUGGUAGAUCAGAAGUUCAGAGGCCUGGACUUGCGACUGGUGUCUGACGCGGGGCAGUCUUGUGGGAACUGACACUAUCUCCUGGAAGAUGACAUAAGAAUUGAAUUGGAUUAGAAGACGCCCAGC